rnacentral:misc_RNA from 1 species
GGCAGUAAAGCAUCGUCGAAGUCUACUACCCGAUGCCCUUAACUACCUUCCUGAUAACAUAAAUCGAUGUCAUUCUGUUGCUCUUGCCUUGUGAAGAUGCUGUGAGGACAAGCAUCUUAUCAAAGAAAUGGAGGUAUUACUGGUGUAGACUUACAGAGUUGAAGAUUGAUACUUUAAUUAGCCUGAAUUUUAUGUGAAGUCAAUAUUUCUUCUGAGUUGCUGGAAAGUUUAAUAUCUAAUUGCCCGUUGCUUGAGGAGUUGGAGCUGGAUAUCGCAGACAAGUCAGACAAUUGAAAUUAAUGUCCCCAUGUUGAGAUUGUUCUAUCUCUCAGGCAAUAUAAGUUCUGUCUGCCUAAAGAAUGUCCCUCCUCUGGUAAAAGUAUUGAUGUACGGUGACUAUAUUAAAGCAGAGGAUCUUAAUUUUGCAAAGCUUUUCAAGUGUUGUCCUGCUCUCGAGCACCUUCUCUUUUCCUCCUUUGCGUCCAAGGUUCACUGUGGAGAUGAAGAGGAUGAUUGUAUUCUAGAAUGCCUUGAACUCGGACGUUUCUCAGAUGUGACAUUAAAUCACCUCAGGGAAGUUAAGCUGGAAUGCUUCGGAGGAACCACGAUGCAACUUGUCAAGCUUUUUUAGCCAUGUCCCUGGUGUUGGUGGGAAUGCUAAUUGAUACAUGUGUUCUACCUCUUGACUCGAGGUCAAUAUAUUUGCUGAGGUAUCAAAAAAAAAAUUUGUGCAUCACCUAAAGCAGUUGUAGUCUACAUUGAUUAAUUAGAUCACAACCUUUGGGCUAGAAGUUAACAAAUUCAAAAGAGAGACUAAAACUUUGAUAUAGUAGGGGUCUAUAACACUGUGUUUUACCUUGCCUUAAGCAUUGUUGGAUGGAUGUUUUGAUCAGUUUGUUCUGUAAUAACAAUGUCAUACAUGUUUAAGGAUAAUUACUUUC